AAUACUAUAGUUUCAGGGAUUGUUUUUAUAGUUCAUAACCAAAGAAUUUUUUGUGAUUGUGUAGAGCACCUGAAACCAUGAGGAGUCAGAGCAUCCUCUCCUGAGCAUGACACCAGUUUUUGGUGUUGGUUCUGCAAUUGUCUUUUUACCAUUGAUAAUUGUUCUUCUCUUCCUUCAAAGGGAGAGGGAAAGGAUGCAGUCUGAGUGAU